rnacentral:rRNA from 1 species
CAGAGGGGGCAAGCGUUGUUCGGAAUUACUGGGCGUAAAGGGCGCGUAGGCGGCCGCCUAAGUCAGACGUGAAAUCCCUCGGCUCAACCGGGGAACUGCGUCUGAUACUGGGUGGCUUGAAUCCGGGAGAGGGAUGCGGAAUUCCAGGUGUAGCGGUGAAAUGCGUAGAUAUCUGGAGGAACACCGGUGGCGAAGGCGGCAUCCUGGCCCGGCAUUGACGCUGAGGCGCGAAAGCCAGGGGAGCAAACGGGAUUAGAUACCCCGGUAGUCCUGGCCCUAAACGAUGAGUGCUUGGUGUGGCGGGUAUCGAUCCCUGCCGUGCCGAAGCUAACGCAUUAAGCACUCCGCCUGGGGAGUACGGUCGCAAGGCUG